CAUGGCUCCAACUAGACACUGUCAGCAGCUCAGGAGCCUGUCUUUGAAUAUCAAGAACCACUGAGACUGGGGGGCCAAACACAGGGAAGGGGAGGAAUUCAGAACAGGACGUGCUUAACUUCACCUGUUGGGAGUAAUCUGAAGAAUGAACCUGGAGCAAGAUUAACUUGUGCAUGUAAAUUCUCCCCACAAUUCUACUCAUCACAAUCCUACAGAGAAGGGGCCUGGAGAAAAUUAAGAAUCCACAGCGGAGAUGUUCAAGGCAGCUUUACUAAAAACAGCCAAAUAAUGGAAACAACACAAAUAUUCAUCAACAGGGAAAGAUAUAUUGUGGUAUAUUCACACAAUGGAAUACUAUAAAACAAAAGAAAAAAUUAUUGAUAUAUGGAACAGUAUGAAUGAAUAUCACUGACUUAAUUUUGGUCAAAAUAAACCA